GUGCCAGCAGCCGCGGUAAUACGAAGGGUGCAAGCGUUGUUCGGAUUUAUUGGGCGUAAAGCGCGCGUAGGCGGACCUGCAAGUCAGAUGUGAAAUCUCGGGGCUCAACCUCGAAACUGCGUCUGAAACUACAGGUCUAGAAUCUUGGAGGGGGAAGGGGAAUUUCGCAUGUAGGGGUAAAAUCCGUAGAUAUGCGAAGGAACACCAGAGGCGAAGGCGCCUUCCUGGACAAGUAUUGACGCUGAGGCGCGAAAGCGUGGGGAUCAAACAGGAUUAGAUACCCCGGUAGUCC
rnacentral:rRNA from 1 species